AUAUUGGACAAUGUGGGCAACCCUGAUCCAGCCAUUCCGCGUGUGUGAAGAAUGUCUUCGGAUUGUAAAGUACUUUAAGUUGGGAGGAAGGGCUUUAGGUUAAUACCCUGUAGUUUCGACGUUACCAACAGAAUAAGCAUCGGUUAACUCUGUGCCAGCAGCCACGGUAAUACAGAGGGUGCAAGCGUUAAUCGGAAUUACUGGGCGUAAAGCGCGCGUAGGUGGUUCAGUAAGAUGGGUGUGAAAUCCCCGGGGUUAACCUGGGAACUGCUUUCAUAACUGCUGGGCUAGAGUACGGUAGAGGGUAGUGGAAUUUCCUGUGUAGCGGUGAAAUGCGUAGAUAUAGGAAGGAACACCAGUGGCGAAGGCGACUACCUGGACUGAUACCGACACUGAGGUGAGAAAGCGUGGGGAGCAAAC
rnacentral:rRNA from 1 species